UCCUCCUGCAUUAGCACAUUUUCAACUUAGGCUGCGUUUGGGAACUUGGAUUUGGACCCUGGAUUUAAAACUCAGGGUAUUUCAAAUCCAAAUCUCUAGUUUGGACUUCAAAUUGGGCUGAGAUUUCAAAUCCAAUUAUUUUAAAGAGGAGAUUUUGAAAGCCCAAAUACAAGUAUUUGAAAUCCCACCCUGCCCCUUCGAAUUUGACAAAUCCAGAUACUGACUCCUCCUCUCUCGUUUCGCGAUCCCGACUCCUCCUCUCUCUCGUUUCGCGAUCAACGCUGGUAACUCUCCUCUCUCCCCUUCUCCUCUCUCGUCGAAACCCUAGAUCUGAUCUAGGGUUUCGGUCUCCCCCUUUCUCCUCUCUCUGCCCCUUCCAUCUAAACCCUAGAUCUGUGGCUCUCAAUCCUCUUCAUCUCCCCCAAAAUUGAAGGAUCGCUGGAGAAAGAUCAACGCCGAUGGAGUGUCGACGAAGCAGAACAUGAAGACGGUAGCUGAUUUCGUUGCUGACAAGAGCAAAAUCCACAGGUUAUUUUGUGCUUAUAUGCAGAGCAGCAACUAGAGACAAAAUAAGGAACUUACUAGACCAAGUGAUUUGUAGAUGUGAAGUGUUAAUAGUUUUGCAAAGCAUCUUGCAAUUGUAAGUAAGAGAAACACGACCUUAUUGCUAUUUAGUAGUUUAGUAUUUUCAUAGCUACUCUCCUUUAUAGAUGUAUUUUGCAUAGACUCUGCUAUUAGCUAAAAAUAUUCUAAGAGGUAAUAUGUGCAUAUUUAAUGUGGUCAAGAUUUUGUUGCUUCAUUCCUUUUUAAAGCAAAGGUAGAUAAGGUAAAGGAAAAAAUCUUUCAGACACACCAAGUUAUUUCUUCAAAAACCCAAUUCUAAAAUGAACACAAAAUUAAAAAUUUCAUACCCUCAUCUCCUGAGUCACUCAAGCAGAGGUACAGUACAAGUCCAAUGGCCAUGGCAGCGACAACAAACUUGAUUUCUUUGUGUAACAUCAAAGAAUCCUUACUCUGCAUAUAAGCACAAAAUAACUGAAGAAAUCUUGCAAGUUAUUAGGAGUUGCCGAGGACUUUGUGUUUACAAUUUUUAUUAGGAGUCAUUUGUUUUGUUUUCUGUUUUGAAUGUCAAAUGGGUUGCCAAGGAGUUAUGAUUGAUGAAGAUAACCCCGAUCGAUGGAAGGAGAUUAUUUCGAUAAUUGGAGGGAAAAGGAGUGAGGAGGAAGUUAAGAAGCAUUAUGAAGCUUUGUUGAGGGAUCUUAAUAUCAUUGAAUCUAGUAUGUUUGAUCCAUAAUUUGGAGAGGCUCAGGACUGCACUCAAGAUAUUACUUUGACUGGUGAUGAGCAAAAGAUCUGCAAUUACUGGACCAAUUGGAAAUGAGUGUGCUGAUUUGUGGCCUACGAUUGCUAGUGCAGCCAAUGCCAUUGUGUAAUAUCCAGAU